rnacentral:rRNA from 1 species
GUAGGUGGCAAGCGUUGUCCGGAAUUAUUGGGCGUAAAGCGCGCGCAGGCGGUUCUUUAAGUCUGAUGUGAAAGCCCACGGGCUCAACCGUGGAGGGUCAUUGGAAACUGGAGAACUUGAGUACAGAAGAGGAAAGCGGAAUUCCACGUGUAGCGGUGAAAUGCGUAGAGAUGUGGAGGAACACCAGUGGCGAAGGCGGCUUUCUGGUCUGUAACUGACGCUGAGGCGCGAAAGCGUGGGGAGCAAACAGGAUUAGAUACCCUGGCAGUCCACGCCGUAAACGAUGAGUGCUAAGUGUUAGGGGGUUUCCGCCCCUUAGUGCUGCAGUUAACGCAUUAAGCACUCCGCCUGGGGAGUACGGCCGCAAGGCUG